rnacentral:rRNA from 1 species
UACGGAGGGGGCUAGCGUUGUUCGGAAUUACUGGGCGUAAAGCGCACGUAGGCGGCUCUUUAAGUCGGGGGUGAAAUCCUGGAGCUCAACUCCAGAACUGCCUUCGAUACUGUAGAGCUUGAGUUCGGGAGAGGUGAGUGGAACUGCGAGUGUAGAGGUGAAAUUCGUAGAUAUUCGCAAGAACACCAGUGGCGAAGGCGGCUCACUGGCCCGAUACUGACGCUGAGGUGCGAAAGCGUGGGGAGCAAACAGG